rnacentral:sRNA from 1 species
GGUAUUCCUUAUCUGUCUAAUGGUUUGUUUGGAGCCUGUCUUCCUGCACUCUGUACCAAAGCGCACGAAGACAGGCUCAUCAGUUUGUUGCCGCUUAAGUACUUAAC